rnacentral:rRNA from 1 species
GAUGAACGCUGGCGGCGUGCCUAACACAUGCAAGUCGAGCGAACAGACGAGGAGCUUGCUCCUCUGACGUUAGCGGCGGACGGGUGAGUAACACGUGGAUAACCUACCUAUAAGACUGGGAUAACUUCGGGAAACCGGAUACAGUACCGGAUAAUAUAUUGAACCGCAUGGUUCAAUAGUGAAAGACGGUUUUGCUGUCACUUAUACAUGGAUCCGCGCCGCAUUAGCUAGUUGGUAAGGUAACGGCUUACCAAGGCAACGAUGCGUAGCCGACCUGAGAGGGUGAUCAGCCACACUGGAACUGAGACACGGUCCAGACUCCUACGGGAGGCAGCAGUAGGGAAUCUUCCGCAAUGGGCGAAAGCUUGAUGGAGCAACGCCGCGUGAGUGAUGAAGGUCUUCGGAUCGUAAAGCUCUGUUAGUAGGGAGGAACAAAAGUGUAAUUAACUAUGCACGUCUUGACGGUACCUAAACAGAAAGCCCCGGCUAACUACGUG